CGAAAGCCUGACGGAGCAAGACCGCGUGGGGGAGGAAGGCCCAUGGGUUGUAAACCCCUUUUGUUAGGGAAGAAAAAAAUGACGGUACCUAACGAAUCACCCUCGGCUAACUCCGUGCCAGCAGCCGCGGUAAUACGGAGGAGGCAAGCGUUAUCCGGAAUUAUUGGGCGUAAAGCGUCCGUAGGUGGCCCGGCAAGUCUGCUGUCAAACACCACAGCUCAACUGUGGAAAGGCAGUGGAAACUGCAAGGCUAGAGUGCGGUAGGGGUAGAGGGAAUUCCCAAUGUAGCGGUGAAAUGCGUAGAGAUUGGGAAGAACACCGGUGGCGAAAGCGCUCUACUGGGCCGCAACUGACACUGAUGGACG
rnacentral:rRNA from 1 species